CUGACGCUUUGGGGUUUAACAGGUGCCUGUCUGCAGAGUUUUGGCAAAUUGAGGCUGUCAUUCCCUGCUGAGCAGCAGACUGGUGUAAAUGUUCCUCCUGCAGCAGUUUUUUGAAAAUAAAA